UACGUAGGGAGCAAGCGUUGUCCGGAAUCAUUGGGCGUAAAGCGCGCGUAGGUGGCCUCAUAAGUCCGCUGUGAAAGUCAAAGGCUCAACCUUUGAAAGCCGGUGGAUACUGUGAGGCUAGAGUACGGAAGAGGCGAGUGGAAUUCCUGGUGUAGCGGUGAAAUGCGCAGAUAUCAGGAGGAACACCCGGGGCGAAGGCGGCUCUCUGGGACGGUACUGACGCUGAGACGCGAAAGCGUGGGGAGCGAACAGG
rnacentral:rRNA from 1 species